GAAUCAGAUGCAUUCAACUCUCUUGGAAGGAUACAAAGAAGAUUAGCAUGGCUCCUGCCCAAGGAUGACACACAAAUUCUUGAAGUGCUCCAUGUUUUU
rnacentral:snRNA from 1 species